rnacentral:rRNA from 1 species
UACGUAGGGUGCAAGCGUUGUCCGGAAUUAUUGGGCGUAAAGAGCUCGUAGGCGGUUUGUCGCGUCUGCUGUGAAAACUCAGGGCUUAACCCUGAGCUUGCAGUGGGUACGGGCAGACUAGAGUGCGGUAGGGGAGACUGGAAUUCCUGGUGUAGCGGUGAAAUGCGCAGAUAUCAGGAGGAACACCGGUGGCGAAGGCGGGUCUCUGGGCCGUAACUGACGCUGAGGAGCGAAAGCAUGGGGAGCGAACAGG